CUUGACGAUCAUAGAGCGUUGGAACCACCUGAUCCCUUCCCGAACUCAGAAGUGAAACGACGCAUCGCCGAUGGUAGUGUGGGGUCUCCCCAUGUGAG
rnacentral:rRNA from 1 species